CCGGACACGACUUCUACUAUCUGACUUUGACCCAGGCACCUUAUCAAUCAAUCCCUCCUCUUUUACAUGUUUAUCACUUCCUCAUAGAUUGUAAACUCGUUUAACUAAGGCCUUCAUAGUCUCUUGUCUCUCCUAAUGUACUGUAUGUCACUUACUUGUUGUCAAUUAUCCCAAUUCUUUAAUUGUCAAGCACUGCGGAACAUGUUGGCACUAUAUAAAUAAUAAUAAUGAUGAUAAUAAUAAAAAUAAUACAUUCUCUGGUAUUUAGG